rnacentral:hammerhead_ribozyme from 1 species
AUCUAGCUGACGAGUUGCAAAUAGAAUUAAACGCGUGUCCUGGAU